UGGGGAAUAUUGCACAAUGGAGGGAACUCUGAUGCAGCGACGCCGCGUGAACGAAGAAGGCUUUCGAGUCGUAAAGUUCUUUUAUAUGGGAAGAUAAUGACGGUACCAUAAGAAAAAGCCCCGGCUAACUACGUGCAAGCAGCCGCGGUAUUACGUAGGGGGCUAGCGUUGGCCGGAAUCACUGGGCGUAAAGGGUUCGCAGGCGGAAAUGCAAGUCAGGUGUAAAAGGCAGUAGCUUAACUACUGUAAGCAUUUGAAACUGCAUAUCUUGAGAAGAGUAGAGGUAAGUGGAAUUUUUAGUGUAGCGGUGAAAUGCGUAGAUAUUAAAAAGAAUACCGGUGGCGAAGGCGACUUACUGGGCUCAUUCUGACGCUGAGGAACGAAAGCGUGGGUAGCAAACAGG
rnacentral:rRNA from 1 species